GUGUCAGCAGCCGCGGUAAUACAGAGGGUGCAAGCGUUAAUCGGAAUUACUGGGCGUAAAGCGUGCGUAGACGGUUAUUUAAGUCAGGUGUGAAAGCCCCGGGCUCAACCUGGGAAUUGCAUUUGAGACUGAAUAGCUAGGGUGCGGAAGAGGGAAGCGGAAUUUCCGGUGUAGCGGUGAAAUGCGUAGAUAUCGGAAGGAACACCAGUGGCGAAAGCGGCUUCCUGGUCCAGCACCGACGUUCAGGCACGAAAGCGUGGGGAGCAAACAGGAUUAGAAACCCCCGUAGUCC
rnacentral:rRNA from 1 species